CGCCCACCAGCUAGCUCAACUAAUUAAAUACAACACCCCCACAUAAAUUAAACCCUAAAAUGACCUAACCCCAAAAACAAAUCAUUUUUCCCCCUAAGUACGGGCGACGGAAAAG
rnacentral:rRNA from 1 species